rnacentral:rRNA from 1 species
UGGGGAAUAUUGGACAAUGGGCGAAAGCCUGAUCCAGCCAUGCCGCGUGAGUGAUGAAGGCCCUAGGGUUGUAAAGCUCUUUUGUGCGGGAAGAUAAUGACGGUACCUGGAUAAGAAGCCCCGGCUAACUUCGUGCCAGCAGCCGCGGUAAUACGAAGGGGGCUAGCGUUGUUCGGAAUUACUGGGCGUAAAGCGCACGUAGGCGGCUUUCCAAGUUGGAGGUGAAAUCCCCGGGCUUAACCCGGGAACUGCCUCCAAAACUGAAAGGCUAGAGUCCGAGAGAGGUGAGUGGAAUUUCCAGUGUAGAGGUGAAAUUCGUAGAUAUUGGAAAGAACACCAGUGGCGAAGGCGGCUCACUGGCUCGGUACUGACGCUGAGGUGCGACAGCGUGGGGAGCAAACA